GAAGUUCCCAUGAUGCGUAUGUCAUUAGACAAUCAGGGAUAUGGCACAGAUUAAGAUCAAGUCAACGAGCAGACAUGUGGUUAUUGGGAGACCGUGGAUAUCCUUGCACCCCCUGGCUCAUGACUCCUUACCGUAAUCCCAGGCCAGGACCACAGACGGCAUUUAACUCCGCGCUUACUGCCACUAGGCAGCUGGUGGAGCGCACAAUUGGGGUCCUUAAAGGGCGGUUUCGUGUGCUCCACCGCACUGGUGGCGACAUCAUGUAUUCGCCGGAGAUGGCAAGUAAACUAGUGGUUCUGUGCGCAAUACUACACAAUAUCGCGGUAAGGAGUAGCGUAGAGCUUCCUCAGACAGAGGAAUUGCCUGAUGAGGAGCCAGGGGUUGUUCGACACUUCGGUGGGGGGAGUGUUACACGGAGGGGGAGCCAAGUCAGGGCAAGCAUUGUUGCUGAAUAUUUCAGCUGAAUGAUCACACAAACUGUGGACGAGAACAACGGCAGACCUCUCAGCCCCCUUCCCA